rnacentral:rRNA from 1 species
UACGGAGGGUGCAAGCGUUGUCCGGAUUUAUUGGGUUUAAAGGGUGCGUAGGUGGCUUGUUAAGUCCGGGGUGAAAUCCCACAGCUCAACUGUGGAACUGCCCUGGAUACUGGCAGGCUUGAGUCCAGACGAGGUUGGCGGAAUGGAUGGUGUAGCGGUGAAAUGCAUAGAUACCAUCCAGAACCCCGAUUGCGUAGGCAGCUGACUAGGCUGGUACUGACACUGAGGCACGAAAGCGUGGGGAGCGAACAGG